rnacentral:tRNA from 1 species
GGGCUAUUAGCUCAGUCGGUUAGAGCACACCCCUGAUAAGGGUGAGGUCCCUGGUUCAAGUCCAGGAUAGCCCA